GGAAUACGCUCUGGAAACGGAGACCAAUUCCCGAUGUACAGGAAGGAGGCAUCUCUUUUCUGUGAAACAUCCUUUAGGGGAUGGGGCGCGGAUGGACCUGCGGUGCAUUAGUUUGUUGGCGGGGUAAAGGCCCACCAAGACGAUGAUGCAUAGCCGGCCUGAGAGGGCGGACGGCCACAUUGGGACUGAGACACGGCCCAGACUCCUGCGGGAGGCAGCAGUAGGGAAUUUUCGUCAAUGGGCGCAAGCCUGAACGAGCGAUGCCGCGUGAGUGAAGAAGGCCUUCGGGUCGUAAAGCUCUGUUGCGGGGGAAAAAAGGCAGCAUCAGGAAAUGGGUGCUGACUGAUGGUGCCCCGCCAGAAAGUCACGGCUAACUACGUGCCAGCAGCCGCGGUAAUACGUAGGUGGCGAGCGUUAUCCGGAAUGAUUGGGCGUAGAGGGUGCGCAGGCGGUCCUGCAAGUCUGGAGUGAAACGCAUGAGCUCAACUCAUGCAUGGCUUUGGAAACUGGAGGACUGGAGAGCAGGAGAGGGCGGUGGAACUCCAUGUGUAGCGGUAAAAUGCGUAGAUAUAUGGAAGGACAUCAGUGGCGAAGGCGGCCGCCUGGCCUGUUGCUGACGCUGAGGCACGAAAGCGUGGGGAGCAAAUAGGAUUAGAUACCCUAGUAGUCCACGCCGUAAACGAUGAGGGCCAAGUGUUGGGG
rnacentral:rRNA from 1 species